rnacentral:rRNA from 1 species
CUACGGGUGGCACCAGUGGGGGAUAUUGCACAAUGGGGGAAACCCUGAUGCAGCAACGCCGCGUGAAGGAAGACGGAUUUCGGUCUGUAAACUUCUAUCAGCUGGGAAGAAAAUGACGGUACCAGACUAAGAAGCCCCGGCUAACUACGUGCCAGCAGCCGCGGUAAUACGUAGGGGGCAAGCGUUAUCCGGAUUUACUGGGUGUAAAGGGUACGUAGGCGGUUAUUUAAGUCAGAUGUGAAAGCCCGGAGCUCAACUCCGGGACUGCAUUUGAAACUGGGUAACUAGAGUACAGGAGAGGAAAGCGGAAUUCCUAGUGUAGCGGUGAAAUGCGUAGAUAUUAGGAAGAACACCAGUGGCGAAGGCGGCUUUCUGGACUGUAACUGACGCUGAGGUACGAAAGCGUGGGGAGCGAACAGGAUUAGAUACCCUAGUAGUC